rnacentral:rRNA from 1 species
AUUGAACGCUGGCGGCAGGCCUAACACAUGCAAGUCGAGCGGUAGAGAGAAGCUUGCUUCUCUUGAGAGCGGCGGACGGGUGAGUAAUGCCCAGGAAUCUGCCUGAUAGUGGGGGAUAACGUCCGGAAACGGACGCUAAUACCGCAUACGUCCUACGGGAGAAAGUGGGGGCUCUUCGGACCUCACGCUAUCAGAUGAGCCUAGGUCGGAUUAGCUAGUUGGUGGGGUAAGGGCUCACCAAGGCGACGAUCCGUAACUGGUCUGAGAGGAUGAUCAGUCACACUGGAACUGAGACACGGUCCAGACUCCUACGGGAGGCAGCAGUGGGGAAUAUUGGACAAUGGGCGAAAGCCUGAUCCAGCCAUGCCGCGUGUGUGAAGAAGGUCUUCGGAUUGUAAAGCACUAUAAGUUGGGAGGAAGGGUCGUUACCUAAUACGUGGCGAUUUUGACGUUACCGACAGAAUAAGCACCGGCUAACUCUGUGCCAGCAGCCGCGGUAACAC